rnacentral:rRNA from 1 species
CCUACGGGAGGCAGCAGUGGGGAAUAUUGGGCAAUGGAGGAAACUCUGACCCAGCAAUGCCGCGUGCGUGAUGCAGGUAAUUUUAUUGUAAAGCUCUUUUCUUUGGAACGAAUAAAUGACGGUACCAAAGGAAUAAGCCCCGGCUAACUACGUGCCAGCAGCCGCGGUAAUACGUAGGGGGCAAGCGUUGUUCUGAAUGACUGGGCGUAAAGGGUGUGUAGGUGGUUUGAUAAGUUAGAUGUGUAAUACCCAGGGCUUAACCAUAGAACUGCAUUUGAAACGGUUAUUCUAGAGGAUGGGGGAGGUAGGUUGAAUUCUUGGGGUAGGGGUAAAAUCCGUAGAGAUCAAGAGGAAUACUCAUUGCGAAGGCGACCUGCUAGAACAUAACUGACGCUGAUGCGCGAAAGCGUGGGGAGCAAACAGGAUUAGAUACCCGAGUAGUC